AUUGAACGCUGGCGGCAUGCUUUAUACAUGCAAGUCGAGCGAGCGGCGGACGGGUGAGUAAUGCCUGGGAAACUGCCUGAUGGAGGGGGAUAACUACUGGAAACGGUAGCUAAUACCCCAUACCAUCAGAUGUGCCCAGUUGGGAUUAGCUAGUAGGUGGGGUAACGGCUCACCUAGGCUACGAUCCCUAGCUGGUCUGAGAGGAUGACCAGCCACACUGGAACUGAGACACGGUCCAGACUCCUACGGGAGGCAGCAGUGGGGAAUAUUGCACAAUGGGCGCAAGCCUGAUGCAGCCAUGCCGCGUGUGUGAAGAAGGCCUUCGGGUUGUAAAGCACUUUCAGCGGGGAGGCGUUACCUGCAGAAGAAGCACCGGCUAACUCCGUGCCAGCAGCCGCGGUAAUUC
rnacentral:rRNA from 1 species